rnacentral:ribozyme from 1 species
CCCAUUGGAUCCUCUGCAAUGGGAUGGGAUCUCAAGGCCCUCGAGGGAUAAUACAGGCUCUCCCAUCCAACUCCUAUUCCGACACGUCUUCGUCGUGCUGAGUGGUAACGUGUGCCACCACAUAUCCAAGCUUGGGUACACGGGCUUGACCCAACCCCUUGGGCAGAUGGUGGCAUAUGGCGAACCAACGAUAC